rnacentral:tRNA from 1 species
AUUUGAAUAGCUUAAAAUGUAAGAGUGUAAUAUUGAAGAUAUUAAGGUAGUAAAAUUACUUUCAAAUG